GACGAACGCUGGCGGCGUGCUUAACACAUGCAAGUCGAACGGAAAGGCCCUGCUUUUGUGGGGUGCUCGAGUGGCGAACGGGUGAGUAACACGUGAGUAACCUGCCCUUGACUUUGGGAUAACUUCAGGAAACUGGGGCUAAUACCGGAUAGGAGCUCCUGCUGCAUGGUGGGGGUUGGAAAGUUUCGGCGGUUGGGGAUGGACUCGCAGCUUAUCAGCUUGUUGGUGGGGUAGUGGCUUACCAAGGCUUUGACGGGUAGCCGGCCUGAGAGGGUGACCGGCCACAUUGGGACUGAGAUACGGCCCAGACUCCUACGGGAGGCAGAAGUGGGGAAUAUUGCACAAUGGGCGGAAGCCUGAUGCAGAAACGCCGCGUGCGGGAUGACGGCCUUCGGGUUGUAAACAGCUUUCGCCUGUGACGAAGCGUGAGUGACGGUAAUGGGUAAAGAAGCACCGGCUAACUACGUG
rnacentral:rRNA from 1 species